rnacentral:rRNA from 1 species
CCUACGGGAGGCAGCAGUGGGGGAUAUUGGACAAUGGGGGGAACCCUGAUCCAGCGACGCCGCGUGAGUGAAGAAGUAUUUCGGUAUGUAAAGCUCUGUCAGCAGGGAAGAAAGAAAUGACGGUACCUGACCAAGAAGCCCCGGCUAACUACGUGCCAGCAGCCGCGGUAAUACGUAGGGGGCAAGCGUUAUCAGGAAGUACUGGGUGUAAAGGGAGCGUAGACGGUUAAGUAAGUCUGGAGUGAAAGGACGGGGCCCAACCCCGGGACUGCUCUGGAAACUGUUGGACUUGAGUGCAGGGGAGGUAAGCGGAAUACCUAGUGUAGCGGUGAAAUGCGUAGAUAUUAGGAGGAACACCAGUGGCGAAGGCGGCUUACUGGACUGUAACUGACGUUGAGGCUCGAAAGCGUGGGGAGCAAACAGGAUUAGAUACCCUGGUAGUC